rnacentral:rRNA from 1 species
GAUGAACGCUGGCGGCGUGCCUAAUACAUGCAAGUCGAGCGGGCAGACGAGGAGCUUGCGGCGCGGACGUUAGCGGCGGGCGGGUGAGUAACACGUGUAUAACCUACCUAUAAGACGGAGAUAACUAGGAGACACCGGAGCUAAUACCGGAGAAGAUAUUGAAGCGCAGGGGUGAAUGGUGAGAGACGGUGGUGCGGUCACUUAUAGAGGGAUCCGAGCCGUAUUAGCUAGUUGGUAAGGUUACGGCUUACCACGGCUACGAUGCGUAGCCGACCGAAUAGGGUGGUCGGCCACCCUGGAACUGAGACACCGUCCAUGCGCCUACGGGAGGCCCCAGUAUCCUAUCUUCCGCAGUGGGCGGAAGCCUUACGGAGUGACCUCGCGUCAGUUAUGACGGUCUUCGGAUCGUAAUACUCUCUUAUUAGUGAAGAACCAAUGUCUAAGUAACUGUGCCCGUCUUGACGGUACCUGGUCAGAAAGCCCCGGCUAACUACGUG